AGGUUUCCAAGCUGUCCAGGAUUUGGCUGAUUAUCUCUUCAACUUAAAGGAUCAUUCUCUUGCCCUAUCAAGGGAGGAAACUGCCCAGAUCAUAACCCUUUGGGAGUCCUUGUCCAAAUAUGACAGAGGACGCACAAUAUAUCCUCCACGCCACCAGGACACCAUCAGUAAGGGGAGAUUCCGAGCCACUAAAAGAACUGUUGUGCCAGGGGUGGAGAGUACAAAAAGAUGCUUUGCAGGAGGGAGAAGUCCUGCACAGUGGCCUGACUGCAAUCGGGUGUGUGAGGCAGUUUUUGUUAAGCUCUGCGAGGAGUACCGUGGAGCCAGACGCAUCAAUGGGGUUAGGUAUGCACGAUGGACUCUUGUCUCAAAGGCAUACAUCCAUAUCCGGCAAGUCAUCUUGAACAAUGCUGUAGUGAUGGAGAGGACCACUAUCCAGCUCCCAGUGAUGAACAGUGCAACCAUUGCUUCUUGGCACAACAAAAGGGAACGGUCACAGGAGAAGAAUGUUCUGGAGCAAGGCAUUGCUGCACCAAAGCCUACAACUGUGAGCCCAGAGAGUUUGCCGCCUGCUGUUCAGAGGAAAGGCCGACCCUGUAUGCCUACCGGCCCUGUGGACAAUCCCCAUUCCUUUGUAUUGCCACCAAACACUGCCGGGAUGGCACAGGUGAAACGCAGACGUAACCCCCUAGUCCCUCAUGGAAGUACACCAGCCUUUUUGGCAGCCCUCGAGCCACCUCCUCAGGCAACAACAUCAGCUCCCCAACCUCCUCUGCUGAAUCCAAAUCCGGUCCUGCCACCUCCUCACCCUCAGGUCGCACCACCCCGACCAGCCCUGCUCGCACCCAAGCCUCAGGUCACCCCCCAGGUUCAGCUUGCCCCCCAGCAGCAGGUCAC